rnacentral:lncRNA from 1 species
GGAGCCUGGGCCCCUGGGUCUGAGGAAUGAAAACCCGUCCUAGAUCUCUAGGCCUAAGGAGAGAGGAACUCCUCCCUUUUCCAUCUUCUUAGGGGUUCUAAGGAGAAGGUUAUAGUGUGUGCAGCAGACUAGGGACCGUGUGACUGGUAUUGCUAGCCCAGGUGCCCUAAAAGAGAGCACACAGCCCUCUUCCAGCCUCUGUUUGACACCAAGUGGGUUCUAGGGAGAGAAGCCUACUCACUGAAGGGGUGGGCUCUGCCUGGCCAUACAUACAUGGCCAUUCCCUGGAAAAGGAACAGGAGAGGACAGUUGUGGCAGGUGAGGCCUCUUCCCAAGACAUCCACGGGCCCACCUAUCUCAGACUCAGACCCCCAUGCUGGUCAGGCUCUCAGAUGUACACUCUCCUUAGUUUCAUGCCACAGAGGCCAGACUCGACCCGCAGGUCUCAGAACUCUGGGGGCUCUGAUUCAGCCAAGAUCCUUCCAGAUCACCAAAGGACCAGAAAUCAAGCCAGCUCAGCUCAGAGCCAGAGAGAUGGAUUUUUAAACUUAAUAAAGAUCAGGCUCUUAAGAACU